rnacentral:rRNA from 1 species
AGCGAACGCUGGCGGCAGGCUUAACACAUGCAAGUCGAACGGGCAUAGCAAUAUGUUAGUGGCAGACGGGUGAGUAACGCGUGGGAACGUACCUUUUGGUUCGGAACAACACAGGGAAACUUGUGCUAAUACCGGAUAAGCCCUUACGGGGAAAGAUUUAUCGCCGAAAGAUCGGCCCGCGUCUGAUUAGCUAGUUGGUAGGGUAAUGGCCUACCAAGGCGACGAUCAGUAGCUGGUCUGAGAGGAUGAUCAGCCACAUUGGGGCUGAGACACGGCCCAAACUCCUACGGGAGGGAGGAGAGGGGAAUAUUGGGCAAUGGGGGAAGGCCUGAUCCAGCCAUGCCGGGUGAGUGAUGAAGGCCGUAGGGUUGUAAAGCUCUUUUGUGCGGGAAGAUAAUGACGGUACCGCAAGAAUAAGCCCCGGCUAACUUCGUG